rnacentral:misc_RNA from 1 species
AAGUCGUAACAAGGUUUCCGUAGGUGAACCUGCGGAAGGAUCAUUAACACGUAUCCACGUUAUCAAACCAAUGAGAACCGUUUUCCCGUCUCCCUGCUGCAUGAAAUGAAUUGGUAACCAGUUUGAGGGGGUGAUGGGACCGAUAAGGUCGACCUUCCUGGCACACUGAUGUUUUAAUUCGUUUAUUCGGAUGGACAUCGACAAUUGUAUUUGUGUUCUGCAGGCUAAUUCUUUAUCGCUUUGAUCCCCUCACGAUCGUGGCGGUAAGGGAGCCCUUUAAACUACAUUCACCCCCUUUUUGCUAGUUGACUUUUUAUAUGUGUUGUGAAUUCGAUUGCUUCAUUGCAACGGGCUCUCGGCACACGUUUAUUAAUUGAACGUUAAAAAAUACAACUCUUAGCAAUGGAUAUCUUGGUUCUC